UCCGGUGCCCCUCCUCUCUGACUAGCGAAGAGAACUGCCAAGUCAGUUCCGGCAGAGCGCGGUGAGAAACGGACUGCGGCUAUCUCUCCCGGGACCCUCCAGGCCCUCCGGCCUCAGGCCGGAGGGUGAGCUGGGGGGCCCGGGGACAGGCUGCGGGCUGUGUCCUGCAGAGCCCCAGAGCCCUCGCUGCGGCCGCCCACGGGCGGGGUUCAGCCCUUGAAGCAGCAGCGACCCUCUCCCCAACCCCCACCUCCGAGACCUAAUGGCGGCGGCCCCUUGGAGCCCGGACCUCGCCGACGGCGCGGUCUCUUGGCUGAACGCUGCAGAGCUUAGGCGAAGCCUCCGCCAAGCUGCCGAGGACGUGGCGCCUUUGGGCGUCGGGCGUGGCAGGGCGAGAAGAAUGGCGGCCACUGGAACGCUGCGGAGGGCCGUUAGAUCCUCGAGGGCCCAAGAAGGCGGUUCUCUAUGGACACCAGCUUGGCCAGCCUUAGGCCUUGGGGCUGCGCAGAUCCGGGACCUGGGGUGACCGCUCAUUCCCAGGCGGACGAGACCUCACCUCGUCUGGGCAACGACGGACAAAGGCCUUAACGGACCCGGAAGAAAUGUCUUCAGGAAAUGACUUUUUUGAAAUGGAAUUGUUUGACCUCCUCUAGAAGCGACAUCAGGAGCGACACAGGUCCACGUUUGUUCUGUGAGUUAGAGGACAUGGAGUGGAAAACCGUGAAGAGGAAGAAAAGAAGGUUCUAUGCCAGACUGGUCAUACUUAGAAGACACUUCCCUAUGAUAACCAUUGUCUUGUGUCUGCAUUUUAUUCCUCACUACUGUAUAUACAGUUGACAAUGCUAAGUACUUUUUUGAAAUAUCUAGUCUUCCUAGAUGUUCUGAAGUGCCUGAUAUAUAUUAAAAGUAGAGGUAGUAAAAGCAUUUUGUAAAUAUCUUUUUGUUAAAAUUCACAUGAAAUAUUGUUUAUUUUGGGGGGGGAUUGGCCACACCACCUCUUUGAACAGUACACACUGCGUUUGUGCACUGGUUCAAGGUAGGGGGAAGGAGAAGGAAGUGCAAAGAGCUCUGUGCCAGUGUGUUAAUAGUGACACAAGGUUAACCAUUGUCCUUUUUAUAUUCAUGCAUUUUGUUUCACUUUGCUGUGUAUAUAGUGUAUAUAAUGGACAAAUGAGUCCUAAUUUACAACAUCUAGUCUUUCUAGAUGUUAAAGAGGUUGCCAGUGUAUGACAAAAAUAGAGUUAGUAAACUAAUACAUUUUUGUACAUUUUGUGUUAAAAUUUCUAGGAAAGACUGUCUUCUGAAAAUUUGAGCAUUAUAGUCCUCUGAGUUGGUGGAGAGAGGGAGGGAAGGGGGUUGGUCUUAGGCUAUAAUGCUCAUAUUUCAAAGACACUUGCAGAUUAUAACUGUUACAUGUGUGCAGUUUAUUUAAGACUGCUCUGUAUAUAGUGGACAAAUUAAGUCCUUAUUUGAAACAUCUAGUCCAUCUAGAUGUUUAGAAGUGCCCGACGUAUGUUAAAUGUAGAGGUAGUAAAAUAUCGCUUUGUAAAUAUCUUUUUGCUAAAAUUUAUAAGAAAUUCUGUGUUUUGGGAAUGGAAUAGUUAAACCACCUCUGUGAGCAGUAUAUUAUUGUCUAUACUUGUUCAGUGGUUCGGAGGUGGUGGGAGGGAGGGAAAGAAUUGCAAAAGGUAAUAUGCUAGUUUGUACCUGGACUUUUACAGAUAAAAUUAUUUUUUGUAUGUUAUGUGCAUUUUGUUUUGCUGUGUAAAUAGUGUAUAUAAUGGACAUAUGAGUCCUAAUUUUGCAACAUCUAGUCUCUAGAUGUUAAAGAGGUUGCCAGUGUAUGAAAAGUAGUAAAAUUAGCACAUUUUGUACACUUUGUGUUGAAAUUCAUAGGAAAGCUCAUCUUCUGUAAAUGACUUUUGGGUGUGAAUUUGUUCAGCUACCUGUAAGCAUUACACAUGCCUAUACUUGUCCACUGCAUGGUGGUGGAGAGAAGGAAGUGAGGGAGGAACUGGUUCAGGCCAAAUGGUCAUAUUUAGAAGAUACCUCAGCUUACAACCAUUGUUAGGUGUGUGCAAUUUUAUUUAACAGUGCUGUGUACAUAGUGGAUAUAAGUUCUUAUAUGAAAUAUCUAGUCUUUCUAGAUACUUAGAAGUUCUUGAUGUAUUUAAAAAGUAGUAUUAGUAGAAUAGUGCUUCUUGUACAUAGCUUUUAAAAACUUGGGAAAUACUGUCUUUGGAAAUGGAAUUGUUAAACCUCUCUGAACAGCAUACUCUGCUUGUUCACUGGCUUGAGGGAGGUGGAAGGGAAGAUUGCAAAAGAUGUUUUGCUAGUGUGUACUAGAAAUUUUGAACUUACCUAUUGCUUUAUUUGUUACAUGCAUUGCAUUUAACUUUACUGUAUAUAUUAUGUAUAUACUGGACAAAUGGGUCCCAAUUUUAUAAUAUCUAGUCUCUAGAUGUUAAAGAGGUUGACAAUGUAUGACAAAAGUAGAGUUAGUAAACUAACACAUUUUGUACACUUUGUGUUAAAAUUCUUCGAAAGGCUGUCUUCUGAAAAGGACUUUUGAAAAUGAAGUUGUAAAUCGCAUCUAAGUGACACAUGUGCCUGUACUAGCCCAUUGCUGGAUGAGUGAUGGAAGGAGUUGGGAGAAAUGAAGGGUUCUAGACUAGAAUGUUCCUACAGAGAAGACACUUUCAGAUAUAACCAUUGUUACAUGUGUGUAGUUUAUUCAACACUACUGUGUAUAUAGUGGACAAACUCAAGUCCUUAUUUGAAACAUCUAGUCUUUCUAGAUGUUUAGAAGUGCACAAAGUAUGUUAAAAGUAGAGGUAGUGAAAUAACAUUUUGUAGAUACCCUUUUGUUAAAAUUCAUAUAUAAUACUGUCUUUUAGAAAUGGAAUGAUCAAAUGAUCACCUCUCUGAGCAGUACACGUUAUUUUAUUUGUGCUGGUUUGAGGAGGAAGAAGUGCAAAGGGCUUUAUACCAGUACGUUUGUAGUUAGGCAAGAUUAACCAUUGUCCCAUACGUAUGUCUGCAUUUUGUUUUACUUAGCUGUGUAUAUAGUGUACAUAAAGGACAAACGUCCCAACUUACAUCUAGUCUUCCUAGAUGUUAAAGAGGUUGCCAGUGUAUGACAGAAGUAGAGUUAGUAAACAAAUACAUUGUGCAUACUUUGUGUUCAAAUUCAUAGGAAAGGCUGUUCUGGAAGAUUUGAUAUUGUUAACAUCCCCUCUGAGCAUUACAGAUGCUUAUUACACUUGCCCGCUGGGUUGAUAGACAUGAGAAGGGGAAGGGUUCUAGGCCAGAGUGUCCUGUUUAGACGACACUGAGAUUAUAGCCUUUAUAGCCUUUGUUUGCUACUAUGUGUAUGUAUAGCAGACAAACUUAAAUCCUUAUCUAAAAUACUUGUUCUCUCUAGAUGUUUAAAAGUGCACAACAUAAGUUAAAAGUAGAGUUAAGGUAACACCUUUAAGUAUUUUUUUCCUGUUAAUCCAUAGGAAUGGUUGUAUUUGGGGAAUGGAAUUGUUAAACCUGAGUCUUGGAGAGUAUGCUGACUGUUCACUGGGGGGUUGGGGGGGAGGGGCAGGGAAGGAAGUGCAGAGAGAAGGUUCUGUGCCCAUGAGUCUUUAUAGACAAGUUGAGAUUGUCUAAUGUUCUGUCUGUGUUUUAGUUAAUAUUGCUGUAUAUUAAAGAAUAAACACAUCCUAAUGCCUGAAGUAUAUUAAAGUAGAGGUAGUAAAAUAAUCCCUUUAUAAAUGCCCUUUUGUUGUUUUUUAGGAAGGGCUAUGUCUUCUGGGAGUGUCUAUGUUAAUCCACCUCUUGGAGCUAAAUGUAGUCCUGUACUUAGUCGCUGAAAUGCUGGAGGAGGGUAAGAGGAAGGGUGAAGGGAAGGGCUCUUGGCUGAUAACCUCCAUAUCUAGAAAACAGUUUUAGGUUAUAACCAUAGGUCUAUGUGUGUGCAUUUUUGUAAAGUACCUAUGUGUAUUGUGAACAAGGUUCAUUCUUUACUUUGCAACAUCUAAGCUUUUUAGAUGUCAUGAGGUGACAACGUAUAAUAAAAAGUAGAGCUAGUGAAUUAACCAAUUUGUAAAUAUCUUUGAUGUAACUGAUAAAAAAGCAUCUUGGACAUGGAACUUAAACUGUCUCUGAGAAAUGUAUGUGAGAACUUGUUAGGGGGGCAGAAAGAGUAUUAAAGGGAGGGGUGUAUGCAGAUGUGUCCAUAUUUGGAUGAUAACCGUUGAUUUGUGUGCAUCUCUUUGGCUGUACUAUAAGAAUACAUUGUUAAGCAAUUCAGUGGAAACAUACCUCCUUGCUAAUAUUUUAAUAGUAUAGAUUGGGUAAUGAACCCUCUUAGAAGCAUUAUACUUCAUGUACUCUGUUGCUUUAUGUCUCAUUUUUAAUUGCAUUAGGGGAAUAUAGUACUUUAAUCAUAACUGCCAAUAUCUUUAGAGGCCUGUUGCCAUUUCUUAUUUUUAUGAAAUUUUUGUUGCCAAGAAAGGAUUACACUUUUCCUUCCAGAUUGAGUUGGUGUAGUGUAUUGGUUAUCAAAAUACUCAUAGUUUUGGGACUCUGGAAUGGUAAAUAUUCAUAAUGUGUGAAAAAGCAUGAUGCCUAAUUGUAUGAUCUUAAUUACAUAAAAAUGGAUGCUUAGUUAUGUAGAUACACAAAUGAGACCUAGGAGGACACAUCAAACUGUAAACUGCUUGUGAUUAUGGAUUACUUUGUUUUUUGCUUCUUGUGUUUUUUGGUUUCCUAUUAUGCACAUGUUAGCUUUCAAGAAAUAAAUGUUAUUUUAAAAGCCACGAA